rnacentral:tRNA from 1 species
GGCGGAUGUAGCCAAGUGGAUCAAGGCAGUGGAUUUGUGAAUCCACCAUCCGCG